rnacentral:rRNA from 1 species
GAUGAACGCUGGCGGCGUGCUUAACACAUGCAAGUCGAACGGAAAGGCUCCUGCUUGCAGGGGUACUCGAUUGGCGAACGGGUGAGUAACACGUGGGUGAUCUGCCCUGCACUUCGGGAUAAGCCUGGGAAACUGGGUCUAAUACCGGAUAGGACCACAUUUUGGAUGGUGUGGUGGAAAGUUUGUCGGUGUGGGAUGAGCUCGCGGCCUAUCAGCUUGUUGGUGGGGUAAUGGCCUACCAAGGCGUCGACGGGUAGCCGGCCUUGGAGGGGGUACGGCCACCAUGGGACUGCGGGAGGGCCCAGAAGCCUAAGGGGGGCAGGAGGGGGGAAUAUUGCACAAUGGGGGCAAGCCUGAGGCGAAGGCGGCGGGUGGGGGAAGACCGGCUUUGGGGUGAGAAAACCUUUCGGUAGGGACGAAGCGGCAGUGACGGUACCUAGAGAAGAAGCACCGGCUAACUUCGUG